CUCCUCAGUCACAGUGCUCUGUGUAAUACAAACAAAAAAACGAGUGAGCAGCUGCAAGCUCUUUUGGCCUGCUGUAAUUUCUGUAAAGCACCCUGUCACAAAGACACCGGAGUGGGUGGCGUCAGACCAGAAACAGGAACACAACAAACAGACAGAGAUUUGGAUUUUGGUUAAGCUGAGCGCGUGAUUGCGCUCAGCAUUUAAUACAGAAAAUAAACGGCUUGCAACAAAACACAGGACAAGGCACUUGAGCCAAAAUAAACAGACAAACAAAACGAACUACACAGACAAACACGGUGAGCUUCUUUUACUAUUAUUACUUUUACAAUACCCUCCGUCUCCUAACCCGUUCUCCACUCACCGAACACCAACCCCCAGUGAGUGAAAACAUGCAGCUUUUAUGCAGUUGUACCGAGAUUCGAUUGCUAGUCAAUCAUUCAAUUGGAAUCUCGGUACAACUGCACGUGAAUUAAUUAAAGUGCAAUUCCCCGUGCUCACAUAUUACUUUUUACUUGCACGUGAUGUGAUGUGCCAUCCCCGUGCCUAAAUACAAAUAUACAAUUUACACACACGUGAAACACAGACCGCUUAUAUCCCGUGUACCAAUGCCUAUACACCAACAUUUACACACAACACGUAACAUAUAACACACACAGGGGGGGCACUUUGCCACACACCCCAGGAUGCUUGCACAUGAAAGAUGCUAUUUAAAUGUAAAUCAAACCAAACAAGCCUAUGAAUUCUUGUGUUGAUUUCAAAACAUGAAAAACUGUCAUUCCCUCACCUUUACAAUUGUGAAUCAAUCAAUGGCAAUCAACCUCUGCACCGAGUGAUUUAACAGCAGAUUGGAAGGUGGUUUAACAGCAGAUUGGAAGGUGGUUUAACAGCAGAUUGGAAGGUGGUUUAACAGCAGAUUGGAAGAUGGUUUAACAGCAGAUUGGAAGAUGGUUUAACAGCAGAUUGGAAGAUGGUUUUUAACAGCAGAUUUUAUUGCAUUUUAUUGCUGUAAACUGAUUAAUCGUGUAACUUAAGAGCUAUCGCUGUGCAAACUGGGAAACGUAUUUUUUUUUUUUUGUCGAAUAUAAUCAGGUUACAUUUUGCCCAGAAGUAUAAUAUCACAAUGUACGCAGACAAUUGUGGUAUUAUAGUUCGGGGCAAAAUGUAACCUUUGGAGUGGUGGUUAGGGCUCUGGACUCUUGACUGGACUGGUGGUUAGGGCUCUGGACUCUUGACUGGACCCAUCAUUAAGGAAAUCCUGUCCCUCAUCAACACUCAGCGCACUAGUGCUUCUCCCCUUUCAAGGACGUCCUUCUAGAAGCAAUGUUCUACUCAGCCUUCUGCAGGUUCCUUUUCUAUGCGGCGACAUUGACUCCUGGAAUCAGUCUUUCGAUCCUCUGCAUCCACGAUCUUCAAUCUCAGGUCAUGUAUACAUUAUUUUUUAAACAUUCAAAAAUGUUGAGAAAGGGAGUAUAUGUUUAUGUAUUUAAAACAAAUUAUAUUUGUCCCUUUUCUGCUCUAUUCAGCUAUUUAUCAAUGCUGCUCGACUGCCACCCAGACAAACCUGCACCCCGGAAGGAACUAUCGCCUCUUGGAUUUGGUUUAUCAGAUCCCUUUGUCUGUCUCUUCUCCAUGCUGGAUUUUUGCCCGAUAAUUACUCUGGACAUUCCUUUAGAAUCAGCACCGCUACUUCUGUUGCUUCACAGAAUAUUCCUCCACAUCUAAUCAAAGCUAUGGGGAGACGGACAUCAGGAGCAUAUGACAAUGACAUUUUAACCGCACAAAAAAACGUUAUGUGGGUAAUUACAUUUUAGCCUUAAGUUUUUUUACAUGUAUUAUUCUUUGGAAGCCUAGAGGAAGGGCUACCCUUGGCCAUGGAUUCCCUAAGUUUUCUUCCUACCUGUUUCUGGAGUAGGGGGGUUUCCUUACCUGAGCGCCAGGCGGUUUUAUUCUGUGAGGAGGUGGAGGCUGAGGUGGCCUUGUCCUCUUUUGGGGGAAGGUGGCCCGAAGCCACUUGUCCUGCCUGUCAGCAUUAGUUAGUUAAAGUAUUGUUUUUUUAAGUAUCACAUAUUCUGCCAGCAUAAGGGCGGCUAACGAGGCCCUGUGGACAAGGCCAUGGGCCAAAAGUUUUCAUAUAUGCAUAUCUAUAUGGGUAUGUUUCUCUCCUGCAAAUCAAUAAAUGUCAUUCUGUGGAUUCUCCUUUCUGAAUGGUCUAAACACCAUUGUCUGUGAUGCUGUCCUGUCACAAGAAUUAAAGAGCUUCGUAUUUGAAA